ensembl:piRNA 21ur-890 ncRNA
UUGAUCCCGAAUUGGAAAAGA